rnacentral:rRNA from 1 species
GUUUGAUCAUGGCUCAGAUUGAACGCUGGCGGCAGGCCUAACACAUGCAAGUCGAGCGGCAGCGGGGAGUAGCUUGCUACUCUGCCGGCGAGCGGCGGACGGGUGAGUAAAGUCUGGGGAUCUGGCUUAUGGAGGGGGAUAACCAUUGGAAACGGUGGCUAAUACCGCAUGAUGUCGCAAGACCAAAGUGGGGGACUUUAGGGCCUCACGCCAUAAGAUGAACCCAGAUGAGAUUAGCUAGUAGGUGCGGUAAUGGCGUACCUAGGCGACGAUCUCUAGCUGGUCUGAGAGGAUGACCAGCCACACUGGAACUGAGAAACGGUCCAGACUCCUACGGGAGGCAGCAGUGGGGAAUAUUGCACAAUGGGCGGAAGCCUGAUGCAGCCAUGCCGCGUGUGUGAAGAAGGCCUUAGGGUUGUAAAGCAC